rnacentral:rRNA from 1 species
GACGAACGCUGGCGGCGUGCUUAACACAUGCAAGUCGAACGGAAAGGCCCUGCUUUUGUGGGGUGCUCGAGUGGCGAACGGGUGAGUAACACGUGAGUAACCUGCCCUUGACUUUGGGAUAACUUCAGGAAACUGGGGCUAAUACCGGAUAGGAGCUCCUGCUGCAUGGUGGGGGUUGGAAAGUUUCGGCGGUUGGGGAUGGACCCCGGCCUGUUCGGUUGUUGGUGGGGGAGUGGGUUAACAAGGCUUUGACGGGUAGCCGGCCUGAGAGGGUGACCGGCCACAUUGGGACUGAGAUACGGCCCAGACUCCUACGGGAGGCAGCAGUGGGGAAUAUUGCACAAUGGGCGGAAGCCUGAUGCAGCAACGCCGCGUGCGGGAUGACGGCCUUCGGGUUGUAAACCGCUUUCGCCUGUGACGAAGCGUGAGUGACGGUAAUGGGUAAAGAAGCACCGGCUAACUACGUG